rnacentral:rRNA from 1 species
AGAUUGAACGCUGGCGGCAUGCCUUACACAUGCAAGUCGAACGGUAACAGGUUAAGCUGACGAGUGGCGAACGGGUGAGUAAUAUAUCGGAACGUGCCCAGUCGUGGGGGAUAACUGCUCGAAAGAGCAGCUAAUACCGCAUACGACCUGAGGGUGAAAGCGGGGGAUCGCAAGACCUCGCGCGAUUGGAGCGGCCGAUAUCAGAUUAGGUAGUUGGUGGGGUAAAGGCCCACCAAGCCAACGAUCUGUAGCUGGUCUGAGAGGACGACCAGCCACACUGGGACUGAGACACGGCCCAGACUCCUACGGGAGGCAGCAGUGGGGAAUUUGGACAAUGGGCGCAAGCCUGAUCCAGCCAUGCCGCGUGCGGGAAGAAGGCCUCGGGUUGUAAACCGCUUUGUCAGGAAGAAAAGGUUACUGGUUAAUACCUGGACUCAUGACGGUACCUACGAAGAAUAAGCAACCGGCUAACUAACGUAGCCAGCAGCCGCGGUAA